GGUGCAAGACGCUCAAAAGAAAAAUAAAAUAAAAUAAAAUGUAGAGGAAAAAUAAAUUGACGACAAUUUCAAAGCGUUCUUCUCGCGAAGCCUAGACAGUUUGUUGUCUGUUGGUUGUUGGUUGGUUGAAAAAUCCCAUAAUUUUCUGUAAUAAAAAUUUACCGAAUUUUUGCAUCUGAUCAAAUUUUUAGUGAGAGAAAAUCAUAGUGAGAAUCAGACGGACGGCCGAUGGAGAAGGCGAUGCCAGUAGAUGGUGGAGAUAGUUGCUGCAUUGUAAUAACGGUGGUUGAUGGUGUUAUUCUAAUUCUUAUGCUGCUCUUAAUUAUCAUCCUCAUCCUCAUCGCCUGUAAAUUCAAACCAUGGCGCCGCUUCCUCUCCUCUUCCGCUGCCGCCAGAUUCCGCCACCCCUCCUCGAUCAAGGUUGAUGACAUAGAGAGGUCUCUUAUCUCGGAAGAUUAUGACGUAGAUGAAAGCCAGAUCUGUGAGUCCACUAGUUACUCCAUUGAGGGGGGUGGCCGUGGAACUAAGGCAGGAUUUGUGCCACCCCAUUCUAACAGAGUAACACAUAAACAAAGGCUCUUGCCGACGUCUCCCCAGCUGACACAUAGUGAUAGCUUUGUUCUUGACAUUUCAAAUAUUUCGGAGGAUUCUUUUGUUGGUCAGACUCUUAAGCCUCCACUUGCAGCAAGUAAGUUAGCCGAAGAUCGGAUAUAUGAGAAGGAAGAUGUUAAGUAUAGCCCAAAAUGUGCAGAUGCGAACAUUUCCAGUGAGCUCAUUCCAAAAUAUACUGCAAAUAAGAGAAGCAUUCUCAUGCUGGAGGUAAUCUCAGGACCUUCUCGUGGUCUCCUUUAUUCCAUAGAAUCAACGAAUACGUCCAAUCUUCCAGUGACUGUUGGAAGAGUUUCACCUGGUGACAUAUUGUUGAAGGACUCUGAGGUCUCAGGCAAGCAUGCAAUGAUAAAUUGGAAUGUAAACAACUUGAACUGGGAACUUGUUGACAUUGGUAGCUUGAAUGGUACGCUACUGAAUUCCCAGGCAGUGCACCAUACUCAAUCUGGAAGCAGACAUUGGGGCAAUCCAGUUGAGCUCUCAAGUGGAGAUAUAAUAACUUUUGGCACAACUUCAAAGAUUCUUGUCCAGAUAACCGCUCAAACAGAGAACCAGAUCCCUUUUGGGAUUGGUAUAGCAUCAGAUCCCAUGGCCAUGCGACGGGGAGGAAAAAAGUUGCCCAUGGAAGAUAUCUGCUAUUACCAGUGGCCUCUUCCUGGAACUGAUCAGUUUGGAUUCUUUGGCAUAUGUGAUGGACAUGGUGGAGCAGAUGCGGCCACAUCAGUUAGCAAAGUAAUGCCGGAAGUUAUUGCUAGCAUCCUGUCGGAUUCAUUCAGGAGAGAGAAGGUUUUAUCUGAGUGUGACGCUUCUGAUGUCCUUAGGGAAGCAUUUUCUCAAACAGAAGCAAGCAUUAAUCAUUACUAUGAGGGUUGUACUGCAACAGUGCUUCUGGUUUGGGCUGAUGGUCAUGAAAAAUUCUUUGCGCAAUGUGCUAAUGUUGGAGACUCCGCUUGUGUUGUAAACAUUGAAGGGAAGCUGAUAAAGAUGACAGAAGACCAUAGAUUAGUCAGUUAUUCUGAAAGACUUCGUUUUCAAGAAAUGGGAGAACCUUUGAAAGAUGGGGAAUCACGAAUAUGCGGUAUAAACCUUGCCAGGAUGCUUGGAGACAAAUUUUUGAAGCAGCAGGAUGCUCGCUUUAGUUCAGAACCUUAUAUAAGUGAAGUUGUAUCUAUAAACCAAGAAAGCAGGGGUUUCGCACUAUUAGCUAGAGUUAGGUGGCAGCGUCUUUAUUGACACGGGUUUUGAUGGAUGCUCCUGUUUCUUGAGAUGAUCCAAAGUGAGCCUGCUUUUGUAGCGCGAAACACCUCCCCACCCCCUUUUGUGUCCAUGCACGAGUGCUUGUGAGAGGUGUAAAAGCAUACUCUAUAUGGUAUUCCCGUAAUGUAAGGGUAUGUUAUCACGGUGUAUUUCUGUUUUCCGACGCAGUGAUGGCUUCUGGGAUGUCGUUAAUUUCAAGAAGGCGGUUCAGCUUGUGCAGCAAACAAUGGAGAGAAAUGUCAUGGAUCAAGACAAUUCGGCAGAAAAGAUGGCAAAUAUUUUGUUGAGUGAGGCAAGAUCCCUACGUACCAAGGACAAUACAUCUAUAAUUUUCUUAGAUUUCAAUGUCAUCGAUAGAAUCAGUUCUUGUAAACUCGAUCCGUAGGACAUGUCACUCAGUUUAUCUAUACAAAUU